rnacentral:tRNA from 1 species
GCCCGUAUGAUGGAAUGGUAGACAUAACGGACUUAAAAUCCGUGGAACAUUGUGUUCGUGCCGGUUCAAGUCCGGCUAUGGGUACCA